CGCUUUCCCUCUUCUUCUCUCUCGACACAACUUCUCUGUUACGUUUGAUCGACGAGAAAAGGUAGUGAACCAAGAAGAAGAAGAAGAAGAAGAAGAUGAGUCAACCUCCAGUUGGUGUUCCUCCUCCUCAAGGUUACCCUCCGGCUCCAGGAUAUCCUCAGCAAGGGUAUCCUCCGCCGCAGGGAUAUCCUCAGCAAGGAUAUCCUCCUCCUCAGCAACAACAAGGAAAGUCGGGUCCUGGUAUGAUUGAAGGAUGUCUAGCUGCUAUGUGCUGUUGCUGUGUCUUGGAGGCUUGCUUCUGAGUUGGAAUCUUGAAGCUGCGAAGUUGGAUUGGAUUUGGAUUGUUUGUUGGUUUAUUUUAAUUGAUCUCAUCUUAUUAUUAUAUAUUUCUCUUUCGUUAUAUAUAUGUUUGUUCAUCUGGAUCAUGAAUUAGUGUUGAAGACUUGAUAUCUUAUGUUUUCUUACGUUAUCUUAUUCGCUAAUGGUAAUGUAAACUUCUUGGAGAUCCAACAUGAUGUUGCACAGUAUUGGCAAACCGUAUUUGCUUUUUCCUAGCUUUCAUUUCAAAUAUUUCGCAAUUAUUUGACUUUUCAUUCAUGGGUAGUCCUUUAAGUUUUAGACUUUGAUUAAACACCGGGUAUUAUCUCAUUUUCGUUUUUUUACGAAAAUCAUGUAUCAGAUAAAUUUAAUGUUAACCAAAAAAUUGCGUAUUGGGUUUUAUUUUAUGUUUAAACACUCUAAAGAAAUCGUUAUCGAAAUAUUAAUUCUGAAAGUAUAUUAAAUUUAUAUGCAUCAGUUAGGGGUGUCAAAAUGAGCUAGCUCGCUCAACUCAGCUCAGCUCAUAGUGAGUUCGACUCUUUCAUGAGCUAGCUCAGCUCAGCUCAUUUAUUAUAUGAACUUAAAUAUGUAAACUCGAACUCAGAUCAUCGAGAUCAUGAGUAAAUGAACUAACUCGUGAUCAAAAUAAAAAUAAGAAUUAUAAAAUAAAAUAAAAUAGUGAUAGAAUAACUUCUAUAAUAUUGUUAAAAAUUUAAAUAUUAAAAAAUCCAAAACAUAAAUAUUAAAUACUAAAUAAAAACCAAUACAUGGCAAAAAUU